GCCCCCCUACUCGCACUACGGCGUGUGUACAAACUGGGGGGCGAGAGGAUGAUGUACUCUACUUCGCUCUCGCUGUACCGCGCGGUUGUUGUUGGGUUUUUUUUUUGGCGUUGGGAGCAGAGCAAGAGCAGCUACCGCUAGAAUCACGCAAACACCUGCUCCCCAAUAGCGGAAAGCUCCAUACAGGGAGGAAGAAGGAGGUGGCGGAGGCAGCGGCUGCUCGCAGAUUGAGGGAAGUAUCCAACUGCGCGCCGGCUAUCGCUGUUUGUUCUCGUUCUUACUUACUCCGGGCGCCCCCACCCCCUCCACUCCAGAGCUCAAUCACGCCGCCGCUAACGUUCCAUUUUAGAACCUGCGUAACAUUUUCCCCAGCGCGCGCGAGAGAGAAGAGCGAGCGAGCGAGCGAGCCCCCGCCCUCCCCUUCUGGCCAGCGCUAGUUUGUCAAGAGGAGCCGGGCGCACGGAAACCGCUCCUGCUUUAGACCUGCUCGAGCGGCGUGCUCCACCCCCAAGGAACCUGCGCGAGCGUGAGAUAAAAGUCCCGAUUCGCACCGCAGGCCUAACACAAAUGGCCAGCCUUUGGAUUUGGCGCGCGUGGGGGGGGGGGGGGGAGACGCCAGGCUUUUUAUUAUUAUGAUUAUGAUUAUGAUUUCCUUCAGGGAACGGGAAGCAGGAGUGAAAUGGCAAUUGGAAAUAGCUUCCCUCAACCUGCGAGGGGAAAUGGGCGAAAAAGACCGCCUCCUUUUUCACGGCUGGUGUUUUUACCCACUGAUGUUCGGUGUUGGCGCAGUACAGAGAUCAGCCCUGGAGCGAUGGCCUCACAAAUUCUCACAAAAAGAGCGAAACGGCUGCAGGUUUUGUGCACAUAUUGGACCUGCGAAGUAUUCCUUAUUGCACCGAGUUGUCCUUAUUUUUGAGGAAGGUGCGCAGGAGGCGCCCUGCAUGCAAAAACACUUGCAUCAGCGACACCUUAUUCACGAAAUCCCACGGCUCUACUUAAGUGAAUGCGCUCAUUCUGGCUCAAAACGCAAGGUUGUCAUGUUACAACAGUGUUUUGCUCUGCAGAGGAUAGCGAGUCGCCCAUUCUUUAAACCAAACCUUAUUCCGGUGUCUGUAAUUGGCAUCCGCAAGGUGGUAGUCGUGGGAAGUUUCUAGAACAGUAUUCAAAAUUGAACCCAAAGGGAACGGCGUCUUGUCAAGUUGGAGCUGCAAAAAAAAAAAAAAAAAAGGCACCCUCCCUGCAGUGCACCAACUCCGUUAACUCCAGUCAGAAAUCACACACAUUUCUACCCCUUAUUUUCCUCCUCUCGUCGCGCGUUUUUGCACGACUUUUUCAGCAGCUGAAGACAGGCAGAAUUUCCCGGUCUCCCGAGUUAUCGCAUUGUUGGGAAAAUCUGAACAGCGCGGUUUUAUGUGGGUUUACUUGGAAGUAAAUUCGAUUAAAUAAAAAGAACGUAGACAUGAAAAGGAUCGGUCCUAAAUGUGUAUCGGUGCCUGCAAUUUUGCCUGUCCCUAUCAGCAUUUUUCACAUUCGUCAUAUACCUAGGUGAAUAAUGUAGGUGAAAAACAAAAUGCAGUUUCUGCAGCGGGCGAUUGUUUUCAUGUGACCGCCCCAUUAUAUACCUUUUUCAAAAGACACCGUAUUUGGUUUUUUUAAAAUAAAAGGCUUGCGAUAAAGGCUGAAAGGCAUCAUCCUGCGAUGUUUACAAAGUCGGAACUUUCGUUUUCAAUAUAUCCUUUUACGUGCCCUUAUUGGCCCUCAUUUACCCGGAGGCCUGCCUUCCUAAGCCUUCAUUGGCCUGGAGCUCCGUUUGUUUCCUUCCUUUGCACUCUAAUUGGUCACGGACUAAUUAUUUUGGUUUAAUUGAAAAAUCCUCGACAGAUGAACUCGGGAUGAAAGUCAGGUCUGGCGCCACGCCCAAGGGAGAUGACGAAUGUCUCCUGGCUGGAGAAAGCUUGUCCUCUGCGAAAAAGGGGCAAUAAUGAGGCUUCGAGCAGUGGUGGGUUGCCCCCAGUUCGCAAGAAAUGGUAGUAAAACCGGCGGGAGGCUCCGCCCACUGACCCGGACGUCAUCAUAGGUGAUCUGCACAUGCGAACCAGUAGUAAAGGGAGAUGGACUGAAAAUGGAACAAGAGAGGAAAAGUGAAUACCAACAAGUUUUUAACCACUGAUUCCUGGAAGGCAGGCUACUGUCUCGACAGAAGACUCAGUGAAUUUUGCAUUUACUGACAGGGAACAACUUAUUUAUCGUCUUUUCAAAGAGAACAAAUCCCAAGCUGGAGACCCAAAGAGAGAGAAGUCUGCCAUCUCCAUCAGAUGUUACUAAUUGGACUGGGAUGAAGCCAGCAGCACUUUGUGUAAUGAUAUUCAGCACCACUUAACCUUUAUACAUAUUCAAUACAUUGUGCAGCAUUGUAUGGCUUUUCUGAGAUUUUACACAGCUUGGUUUUCAUAAGAUUGGAAGAUAUUAACCUGAGAUUAGUGCUGUAAGACUUGUGGUGUCCAGGAUUGGGGUGGGGUCAAGAUGGCAAGGGCAACUGCCAUCUUUUCUUUUUUUUAACUUCUGAUCCCUUACAACCCCAUCUAUGCCCCUGUAUAAGACUGCAUCUGGGCAUAAAUGACUAUGCUAGAGAAAAAAAUGACAUACAAGUGAAGGCUGAUGCUAUAUACUUGUAUCCUAACAAUGAUUGGUUGAAACAGCUGCUAUUUACCUGGAGUAGGAAGAGCUUUUGUGGUCUUAAGCAGAGACCUCUUGACCUCCACUGGCAUUUAAGAUCAUUUAUAGAGAUGCUGAUGCUGAUUGCCUGUAUACUGCCUAAUCUUAAAACAACAUGCUGAAACAUUGCUGUGGCCCUGCUUACUAAAAAGCAAUGCUUUAUUCUAGCAACUACGGAGGCAGUGGCCGCAAAAAUAGCCCAACAGGGGUGCUAGAUGCCCCAAAUUGUCCAUGAGUUGCAAAUUCCCCAUGCAAAUUUAUUAACAGAAACAUCUCUAAACUCUCAAUUAACAGGAGGAGCUAAGUCUUUCUUAACAUCACUUUCAGAAAUUACCUCUUUGACCCAUGAGGAAGCUUUGAAUGGGGAUGGGUAAGGUGGACUCCCAACAUAACUGCUCCCUGCCUAUUUUCCAGAAAGGGUCAGGAAUGGGUAUUUAGUAUUGAUUGCUUCAGUUCCCCAAGGCAUGGUAUGAAAAAUGAAAUAUACAUGAAGACAUUAAACAUAUCAGUGGAAACAUGACAGUAAAAGUCCUUAGUGCAUCUGCUGUCACCGUUUGCCAUACUGACUCUUUUGACAUGCCCACUGCCACAGUAAACAACCUGAGUCCAGUUAAGUCCAAGAUGGGGCAAGAAAAAAAAAAGGAAAAAAUAACCUUGUUAUAUUCCUGUUUUUCACAAACCCACCACUUCCAAAAUGCAUUUGAGCCACAAGUCUUGCAACAUUUCGAUAGUGUUUGUUGCAGCAAAAAGCAUGUUGUCCAUCCCCAUUGCUGUCGUUUCGCUCUUUAUUUCCUCUCUCCUUUUCUCUUCUUCAAGAGGUGGAUGUAAUGCCAUUAUGAACUUAAAUGGCAAACUUUGGUGAGAAAACAUUCAGCGAAUGAGGAAUUGGGAAGCACCGUUGGCCGUCCAAAGGGGCAUUGAGGCAGAUGGACGGAGAGAAACUUUUGAUAACCCCAUGGGGGCUAUACAGAAAAUAUAUUAAAUAAACCUGAAACAUAAGGAAAGAAAAAAAAAGGAGAUUAGCAUUCCAUUCCAGAGAAUAAGUCAUCUGCUCAUGGUGCCUAAAUGAGUACAAGCAUGGGAAGCACUCAUGCUUCCACUGUAAUAGGCCAAUGCUUGACAGGUUGAGGAGAAAGCAACAAUUGAAAAUGUGGACAGGCAGAAGAUAGCUUGCAACUGCAUGCUGCCAGCUGGACUGGUCUCAUCAAGGUCACUCAAACAUGAUUCUUUUGUCAGGGAGCAGCAACUUGCAAUUCUGAUUCUGGACAGAAUCAGAAUCAUUCUGGACAGAGAGGAACGAUGGUUUGAAAGAGGGGUCAAAGAGCCCAUUUACAAUAAGAUUGAACAGCCUCUCUCAACAGAGGGGGAAGGAUAUAACACCACCUAUUCCCUGUUUACAACACAAUCCUUUUAGCAACUCCAAGAAGGUCCCACAUCUAUCUGCACUAUUCAGGUGACCCUGAGGGUACAGAUAAUCCUCCAAGUGGCCUCAACGAUUCUCAGAAAGAGUGCUAACGACCAGAUGACUGCAAGGAAUAUAAAUCUUUCCAUCUUCCUCCAUUCAGUCAGAACCGAAGAAGCUUCUUGGAUGAGAAGUGAAAUAUUUUCAAGGAAAAAUGAAGUCCAGCUUUUUUGAAAAAGCUCCUUUGGGACAAUCAUGGCCUGGAUGACUGAGAAUCUCCAUAGACAUUUAGCUUGCAACCGUCCCUGCCUGCUUCCCCAUUGAUUUUCUGGGGAAGCCAGCAGAGAAGAUUGCAAAUAGUGAUCACAUGAUUGCAGGAUGCUAGGCAAUCAGAAGUACGUGUAAACAGGUUGCCAAACACUCAUAUCAUGAUCACGUAACUGUAGGGGGUGGGGUGUGAUGUUUUGAAAUGGCCAAAAGUGUUUUACGGGGCAUAAAGACCCAUUCCAAUGCUAUUGCAAUUCUGGACCAUCUUAAAAUGAAUGGUCAUAAGUUGAGGACUAGCUGUAUUACCUGUUACUUGUCUAUCAGCAGCUGCAAAUCUUACAAAUUCUCCAUUCAUUUCCCCAUGUUCGGAACAUAAACACGAUUUGUCUAUUUUUUUUUAAUGCUAUGUGAUUUGCCAUUGUAUCCUAGGCUUGCUUUUAAAGAUCCUUUUACUGUGUAGGAAGUUAGCAUCCACCCCUCUCCUAGAAGAAUGAAAUAUUCUAGGAAAUAUUAAAGAGGCAGAAUAUUCCGGCUGUUUUUGGCCAGGAAAACUGCCUGAAAACAGCUCAAAAACAGCCUGAAAAAUAGCCUGAAAAACAGCCAAAAACGGGUGGGGGUGAGGCCAGCCGGUGGUCCAAUUUGCCAGUUCUCCAAACCGUGCAGAAUUAGAAUAAUCGGUUUGGGCAAAUCGAUCCGAACCGGCAUCAGCCUGUCUCUGCCUACUGUCCAUUUCUUGAAGGCAGCAACACACAGUGUAUCCUCUCCCAGUGUACCCAGGCCAUCAAGAGGACAACUUCUACCUAUCUGUCAUUUUCUCCUUCUAGUUCCAGUGACAAGAAAAUGCCAUUACUAUGGUAUUCUCUUCCCUUCGGUUCCCUCCCCCUCCCUCCCUUUCUUAGCGGCAUACAUCAACCAGAGGUUGUGGUAGGUAUAAUGCAGAUAGAAUAUCAUGCUCUUGUUGUGGUCAAAUAGAGUGAAGGAGCUAAAGAGAUUUCUCGAGCCUCAUUCCUUAUCCUGAGCAUGUGAUGAAGUUUCCAAAUAAUUGGAAUGAGGUUUACGAAGGAUGAGAAACAGAUACUAGCAUGGAGAAUGGUGUGAGGUGGCUUGGAGAACAGUGUUCAUUUGUCAGGAGAAAAAUGACUGAAAAUGAGUGAGGUAAAACAGAUCUUGUGGAGUUCAGGAUGGUGGGGCAAUUGGAAUGUGACAGAAUGGUGGGGCCAUGGCUGGCUGAGGUGUGGUGCUUGAGGCAACAUUUCUCAGUGGAGCUGGGAGCUAGACCAAAACUCUGACCUGAGGGAAGUAGCAGCUGGCUAAGAUAGCUGAAGGCCCCAGGCCUUAAUUCAGCCCCUGCUCCAAUGCUGCUGACAGUGAGUGCCACUAUGCAGGGUGUCCAAAAGGGCAUAGAUCAUGGGGUAGACAGAUGGGUGGAGGAAACUGCAAUACUCCUGCAGUCAUAAGUGCUGGGGGCCGGGUAGACAGCUGAGGCUUCCCAGGUUGCGGCAACUUUGUGCCAUGUUGGUGUGUUGGGUGGGUGGCUGAGGUAUCCUGGGUUGCAGAAACUUUGUACUGUGCUGGUAAUCUAGGUGGGCUGCUGAAGUUUUCUGAGGCAGCUGCAGCUUUGUGUUGCAGUACAGUCCCCUUCAACUUGUAUGAAGCCCCCAACUCUCUGAGGAACCUCUGCACUCCUUACUUAGGACUCCGACUGUUUAAUGACCAACAAUUCUUACUUAACAACCACAACUAGGAAUGUCAAGAUUGUGGAUGUUGAGUGAAGUGAUCACAUGACAUCUCACUUAACCAUUUUGGUCAACAACUGAGAUUCCAACAUCAAUUCUGUUUGUAAAUUUAGGACUGUCUGUAUCUUAUUCAAGAAACAUUCAUAGCCGUUAAAACCAAAUUUGUUCCAACACUAGGAGAUAAUUUAGGCAGGGUUCAGGAGCACAGAUACUAACCUUGUUUUCAAAAGAUGUCAGAUAGGUUUAUUGCACUUUAUCAACUUUAAAAUGAGAUAAAUUAAGAUUCAAAGAAGAUUAAAAAACUGGGAGAGAAGAACAGAGAUAUCUGUAUACCUGGAUAUGUCGCACCCGAACUUGUGUGGGACGACAUUGCAUCGCUCGGGUAUUGCAACAGCCUGUGCACCGUUGCACUUCUACACAGGGUGGCCACACAAGAAAAUUGGCAUUUGUUGAAUCCACCAUGCUCCGGGAGAUUUCAAAGACUUCAGAUCGUGUCUUGCACUCAGCAAUUACUGCUGGCUCAAUAGGUUCUGCUCCGGCUAGAAAAACCCAGAAGAAAAAUUCCUGGUGAAAUCAAUUUUGAAACUCAUGACUGUUUUCCUUAUUGCAUGUUUUACUGUGUCUCAUUUUAUUCAGAAGUGUUUGGGGGCAUUUCUCCUAUAUAUUUUGAAGCUGUUAGAGGAGUCUUUGUAAGCUUUCUAUUGGGCAGGAGAUGAAAAUAUUUCACCAAAUAUAUAUCUUAGUUAUUUACCAAUUAUCUUACAUAUCCCUCCAUUAUAACCAAAUUUAUUAUUCUGCUCCCUUAAAAAACAAACUAUUUUAAUUAGUUGAUUCACUUAAAGGAUUAUGAUUUUCCAUCUGCAGAAUUUAAGAUUCUUUUAAAUGCAUGUAAUUAACCAAUAUUCCCAUCUCUAAACUGGCAGCAAAACAGAUUCCAAAGAUUGAAACUGUAAAGAAGACUUUAUUUGGUUUGGUAGAAGAUAGGGCUGGUUUAUAUGUGCAAAAACUAAAAUUUAAGUAUUUCUGGACUAAAUCUAAUCCCAUACUUUACUUGUUGAAAUAUAGUAGCCAGCAUGUCUACAGCCUACCUAAACUUCGUCUUCCACGGGACAAAGGAACAAGAUUUUCACCACCAUGCAUUUGGGAAAAAUUCAUGUAUGAACUAGAGGUAUCUUCAUCUGCAAAAAGAGGGGGAAAAAACAAUUAUAAGUAAAUUAAUAUAUAAGUUGCAUCACUAUAGCAAAUACCUGAAUUCCACAUAAGUAUUUUGAAAUAAGGAGGUGAAAAUGUGCAGGCAUUUUCCCCUGUAAGAAGGAAUUAUAAGUGAUAAGCAAUGAUAUACCUGUAAACUGCAGGGAAAAUACAGUGAUGCAAAGGUAAGGAUUCUCCCAACCUUAAAAAAUGAAAUUCUUUUUUCCAACAUGACACAAAAUGUAUUUCUAAGCAAGGAGAAAAAUAAGACUGUACGUUUUGGAUUUUCAUUUUUCAGCUACAAGAUGAGACUAUAAUUCUGUAGUAGAAGCCAAAUUCUAGCAAUCUGAAAUUGUGACAGUGAAUCUCAAAAUCUGCACUUCUUAUCAUACCCCUUAAUAGCCACAGUGGAAACUAUUUGACAAUUUAUUUCAAGUUCAGAUAAUGUGGUGCUUAACACCAUAAGACCAUUUCAAUGGAAAUUGAUAAUAAAUAGCACAGCAAAUUAAUUUGAUAUAAAUUUUACAAUGUAUUUCUCUACAUUCUGUGUUUAUUUCCAGAUAUCCUCAGGUUACAUCAUAUUUCCUAUUAUGUUAUAUUUUAUAUAUUUUAUACCCAAUAAAUCAUUUUAAUAAUAACAUUUAUUCUUUAGAUUUUACCUGUAAUCAAGUGUUGCUUGCAUUGGGCAUAUUUUAGGGGUUUUUUAAAAAAAAAAACCACAAAAUUGUAAAUAUGAAUAAAUCUGAAUGGUAAAAUAAAUUAUUUGAUUGAUUUCA